rfam:Schistosoma mattheei strain Denwood, Zambia genome assembly, scaffold: SMTD_scaffold0005679
AUCCAGCUGACGAGUCCCAAAUAGGAUGGAGAGCGCGUUCUGGAU